AGCGAACGCUGGCGGCAGGCCUAACACAUGCAAGUCGAACGAACCUUUCGGGGUUAGUGGCGGACGGGUGAGUAACACGUGGGAACGUGCCUUUAGGUUCGGAAUAACUCAGGGAAACUUGUGCUAAUACCGAAUGUGCCCUUCGGGGGAAAGAUUAAUCGCCUUUAGAGCGGCCCGCGUCUGUUUAGCUAGUUGGUUGAGGUAAUGGCGCACCAAGGCGACGAUCAGUAGCUGGUCUGAGAGGAUGAUCAGCCACAUUGGGACUGAGACACGGCCCAAACUCCUACGGGAGGCAGCAGUGGGGAAUCUUGCGCAAUGGGCGAAAGCCUGACGCAGCCAUGCCGCGUGAAUGAUGAAGGUCUUAGGAUUGUAAAAUUCUUUCACCGGGGACGAUAAUGACGGUACCCGGAGAAGAAGCCCCGGCUAACUUCGUG
rnacentral:rRNA from 1 species